UUAACGUGUUGGUUUACAUAACCAAUCAGUGUUAUCUUGUUAGUCCAUGGUCCAAGCAUGUUUUUGGUACCACGUAAGGUGAUGAAACAACACUUAGAAUCCAGCCUCGGUGUACCAUGGCCUACACAAAAAUGUAUGAUAACCAUCCCAGGGUGGUAGUUAUAGCCAGGUAGGG